CUCCGAGCGACUGGAAGAGGAGGAGAGGAGAGCCCAAAGAAAAUGUCAUGGAGGGUUGCGUUAACUAAUGGCAAAGCACAACGCCGGACCAGAAAGCACACAGAAACGAUUUGUGCCUCGCUUGCGGAUUAAGGAGAAAGUUCUUCAGCAUCUCUCCGGAGUGCUGGUGAAACCAUCUGCCAGAGCAGCCUCUCCUGAACUGGAAGCAUAACAAAGCAACAUAAACAAAUCAGCAGCUGGGCUCCUUCCCCUCUCCUCCCUCCACAGAAAGUAAGCAGAUCUUUUCCCAACUAGCAGGAAGAUGAUGUGAAAUAAUUAUGAUGUCUGCAAUCGAGGAACGAGGGAAAAAACCCCACCAAUUACCACAGCAAGAGAGAUGGCGAUGCGCUCCAGGUCUCCGGUGAUGCCCUGCUGCAGCCAAACCUCCUGCCUUGGCACAAAGGGAAUUGGGGCCUUUAAAAGCACAUGUAGGAAAUGUGAUUAUAUCUCAUUUGGCUGAAGAAUGAAACGUACUGCAAGAGCUACACACACACACUUCUGUUCUCGUGCCAUCGUUGCCCACAGGCCCAGGGCUUUGAACCACACCACCCUGAGACCCCACGUCAAGAAGGACAGGGAACUGCAGGAGAAGAUUAAAGCAGAUCAUCAUCAUCUUCAUCAUCAUCGUCACAUGUGUUCGUGCAGGCAAGAGAACAACUCAUCUCUGAAUUUUGAGUGGGGUCAGCGCUCUUUCCACAACCUGAGACCCUCCAAAAUUUUGCCUGGACUGAGAUGACCACCCCCCCACAUA